rnacentral:misc_RNA from 1 species
AACUUUUAGCAAUGGAUCACUUGGCUCUCGCAUCGAUGAAGAACGCAGCGAAACGCGAUAUGUAAUGUGAAUUGCAGAAUUCAGUGAAUCAUCGAAUCUUUGAACGCACCUUGCGCCCUUUGGUAUUCCAAAGGGCAUGCCUGUUUGAGUGUCAUUAAAUUAUCAACCUUUUCUUUUGUAACGAUCGAUCAGGCUUGGAUGUGGGGGCUGCCGGUCUCUCAGAGAUUGGCUCCCCUUAAAUGCAUUAGUGGAACCCUUUGUGGAUCAUUAUUGGCGUGAUAAUCAUCUAUCCCAGUGAUCGUGAAGCAAGCCUAACAAGCACCAGGGUUUGGCUUAUAACCGUCCCUCUCUGGGACAAAUCUUCAUUUUAAUGUGACCUCAAAUCAGGUAGGACUACCCGCUGAACUUAAGCAUAUCAAUAAGCGGAGGCU